rnacentral:rRNA from 1 species
GAUGAACGCUGGCGGCGUGCUUAACACAUGCAAGUCGAACGGUGAAAGAGGAGCUUGCUCCUCUGGAUCAGUGGCGAACGGGUGAGUAACACGUGAGUAACCUGCCCCAGACUCUGGGAUAAGCACUGGAAACGGUGUCUAAUACCGGAUACGAGCUUCAGCCGCAUGGCUAGGAGCUGGAAAGAAUUUCGGUCUGGGAUGGACUCGCGGCCUAUCAGCUAGUUGGUGAGGUAAUGGCUCACCAAGGCGACGACGGGUAGCCGGCCUGAGAGGGUGACCGGCCACACUGGGACUGAGACACGGCCCAGACUCCUACGGGAGGCAGCAGUGGGGAAUAUUGCACAAUGGGCGCAAGCCUGAUGCAGCAACGCCGCGUGAGGGACGACGGCC